rnacentral:rRNA from 1 species
CUUCGGCCUGCCGGCGAGUGGCGAACGGGUGAGUAAUGCAUCGGAACGUGCCCAUGUCGUGGGGGAUAACGUAGCGAAAGCUACGCUAAUACCGCAUACGUCCUGAGGGAGAAAGCGGGGGAUUCUUCGGAACCUCGCGCGAUUGGAGCGGCCGAUGUCGGAUUAGCUAGUAGGUGAGGUAAAGGCUCACCUAGGCGACGAUCCGUAGCGGGUCUGAGAGGAUGAUCCGCCACACUGGGACUGAGACACGGCCCAGACUCCUACGGGAGGCAGCAGUGGGGAAUUUUGGACAAUGGGCGCAAGCCUGAUCCAGCCAUGCCGCGUGAGUGAAGAAGGCCUUCGGGUUGUAAAGCUCUUUCGGCCGGGAAGAAAUCGCGCGCUCUAACAUAGCGCGUGGAUGACGGUACCGGACUAAGAAGCACCGGCUAACUACGUGCCAGCAGCCGCGGUAAUACGUAGGGUGCGAGCGUUAAUCGGAAUUACUGGGCGUAAAGCGUGCGCAGGCGGUUUUGUAAGACAGAUGUGAAAUCCCCGGGCUUAACCUGGGAACUGCGUUUGUG